rnacentral:rRNA from 1 species
GACGAACGCUGGCGGCGUGCCUAAUACAUGCAAGUUGAGCGCUGAAGGUUGGUACUUGUACCGACUGGAUGAGCAGCGAACGGGUGAGUAACGCGUGGGGAAUCUGCCUUUGAGCGGGGGACAACAUUUGGAAACGAAUGCUAAUACCGCAUAAAAACUUUAAACACAAGUUUUAAGUUUGAAAGAUGCAAUUGCAUCACUCAAAGAUGAUCCCGCGUUGUAUUAGCUAGUUGGUGAGGUAAAGGCUCACCAAGGCGAUGAUACAUAGCCGACCUGAGAGGGUGAUCGGCCACAUUGGGACUGAGAAACGGCCCAAACUCCUACGGGAGGCAGCAGUAGGGAAUCUUCGGCAAUGGACGAAAGUCUGACCGAGCAACGCCGCGUGAGUGAAGAAGGGUUUCGGAUCGUAAAACUCUGUUGGUAGAGAAGAACGUUGGUGAGAGUGGAAAGCUCAUCAAGUGACGGUAACUACCCAGAAAGGGACGGCUAACUACGUG